rnacentral:lncRNA from 1 species
UUUUCUUCAGCAACAAAAUGAUAUUUGACUCAAGAAUCUUUUAGGAUUUUUCUCACUCUCAAGAAAUAAACCUGUCAUCUUGAGUCUCAGAAUACUUUUCUUUAUUUUCCUUGAUCCUGAAAAAUAUGCCCAGAGAAACAUGAGAAGAUUUGCACAGUUUGAAACAAAGUAAAAUAAGCAGAAUGAAAAGGAAAUGGAUAAGAAAAAAUCUGGAAUAACCUAAAAGAAUUAUAAGACUAGAACCAAGAGAACCAAUGUACUAAGAUUGAAGCCAAGUCAACAAGCAUUUAUUAAGUGCCUGCUUUGUAUCGGACACUGUGGUAAGAGUUGGAGAUACAAAAAAGGCAAAACAACAGUCCCUUCCCUUAAGAAGUUCACAAUCUGAUCAGGGAAAAUAACA